ensembl:lncRNA
GGCGCCUCGGUCCGCCCGAGACCGGGCGUCUUGCGCUGUGAUGUCCGCAGCUUGGGCGGCGGGGGCGGGGCAGGGGUCGGCGCCCGAGGCCACGCCAGGGUGACUCAUCUCCUCCGGCUGCGCGGCCCCUGGCCGCGAGUGUCUGUAAAUCACUGGGUGAGACGGUGGUGCCGGCCGGGACCAGCAGCUCGCGUAGGGAAAGGGAGCGUCCAGCUUGGAGGUUUUCCUGGGGUCCUUCUCUCCCGUUCUGUCCUUUUGACGAAUGGCAUGGCAAGGAACCCACAAUACCUCAGAGGUCUGCUUAUAUCUAUGGUCGGGAUGAUGACCCACAGGCCUGAAGACCUGGAGCUCAUGCGGGGUUCCCUGACCAGAGAUCUAACCCCUGCCCCUGGAGUGGAAGUUCAGCAUCCUAACCACUGGACCACCAGGGAAACCCCAGUUUGGAAUGUUCUGGAAUUAUAUAGUGGUGAUGGCUGCACCACUCUGUGUCUAUACUAAACAUCUCUGAACUGAACACCUUAAAUGGGUGAAUAUUAUGGUGUGUAAAUAAUACCUCAAUAAUGUUGCUAAACAAAGAAAUGAAUAGACGUGAGUUC